GAGCCUUCGAAACGCCUGGUGGCCAGCUA
rnacentral:sRNA from 1 species